rnacentral:lncRNA from 1 species
AGUAAUAAAAUUUUAUAAAGAAAAUUAAUAGAGAAAAUCAACAAAACUAGAAGCUGGUUCUUUGGUAGGAUAAUAUUGAGACCAAGGCAGGAAUUUCCCCUCUGAACACUCUAAUUAAACAUCAUACUGGUAGUCUUGGCUAAUGUAGUAAGGCAAUAGAAGGAAAUAAAAAUUAUACAGAGAAAGAAAGAAGAAAUUAAACUACUCUUAUGCAGAGAUGGUAUUAUGUGAUAUGAUUGUCUAUAAGAAAAUAACCCUAAAUCCAUCAAAAUACUAUUGGAGCAUGAAAGGAAUUAUAACAAGAUUGUUGCAGGAUACAGGAUAAUAUAUAAAAGUCAAUUGCUUUCCCAUAUACUAGCUCUGAAAAAUUGGAAAUUUGAAUUCCAUGACAAUAACAUUUAUAUCAGCAGACAAAAAUUAAAUAUGUAAGAAUUAAUCUAACAAGUAUGUACAAGAUUUAUAUGAGAAAAUGACACAACUCUAGUAAGAGAAAUCCAAGAUCUAAAUAAAUGGAGAGAUAUUCCACAAUAUGGAUAGGAAGUCUCAAUAUUAUUAAGAUGUUGAUUUUCCCCAACUUGAUGUAUUGAUUCACCACAAUCUCUAUCAAAAUCACAGGAAAUUAUUUUUUAACAUAGAAAAAUUGAUUCUAAAGUUCAUAUGGAAAGGCAAAGGACCCAGCAUAACCCACACAGUACUGAGCAGCGACCCUGGAGGAUGGAAACCACAUGACCCCCAGAAAGUGUGAUAUUCACAAAAUAAUGGGCAAAUAGAUCAAUGGAACAUAAUAGAGAUCCCUGAAAUAGACUCAAACAAAUAUACUCAACUAGUCUUUCAUAAAAGACCGAAGGCAAUUCAGUGGAGAAAAGAGUUUUUUCUAUAAAUGUGGCUGGAACAACAAUAAAAUGAAUCCAGACACAGACUUUAAACUUUUCAAAUAAAAUAACUGAAAAGAGCCACAGGACUAAAUGUGAAACAGACAAAAAUAAUCACACAACUUUGAUAAGAUAGCAGAGGUGAAAAUAUAGGCGACCUUGGAUCUGGUGAUGACUUUUUAGAUACAAAGGCAUGGUCCAUUACAGAAGACAAUUGAUACAAGCUAGACUGUGGUGCAUGUGGGUGGGCGGAAUUAUAUGGAAAUUAAUUUUACUUCCUGUAUAACUAUUCUAUAAACCUAAAACUGCUCUAGCAAAUAAAGUCUAUUUAAGAAGAAACAAUACUCAUUAACUACUUUUUUUUUUCUUUUUACCAGGCUGGAGUGCAGUGGUGUGAUCUCCGCUCACUGCAACCUCCACUUCCCUGGUUCAAGUGAUUCUCCUGCCUCAGCCUCCCGAGUAGCUGAGACUACAGGCGUGCGCCACCACAUUAACUACAUUUUUUAAAUGGGUGCCUUUUAUUUUUCUUAAAAUUAUAUGCCAAAAAGUUGAUUAAAAAUUGGAAAAACGUGGAUAAAUGAAUAUACUUUAAUCAGCUCUGUGAUUACUUCUCUCAGCAAUGUAUUGGCAUUAUUUCUUAUUGACCUCAGGCUUUUUGAUGGAGAGGAGGGCCAGGAUAUGGAAACCUGAAAAUAGUUUUCAGAAAACUAGAGCUGGCCAGGCACCGUGGCUCACACCUGUAAUUCCAGCACUUCGGGAGGCCGAAGGGGGGCAGAUCACUUGAGGUCAGGAGUUGGAGACCAGUCUGGCCAACAUGGUGAAACCCCAUCUCUACAAAAAAAUGCAAAAAUUAGCCGGGCGUAGCAGUGGGCAUUUGUAAUCCCAGCUACUUGGGAGGCUGAGGCAGGAGAAUUGCUUGAAUCCAGGAAGUGGAGGUUAUAGUGAGCUGAGAUCACGCCACCGCACUCCAGCCUGGGUGACAAAGUGAGGAAAAAAAAAAAAAAACACCAAAAAAUUAGAACAAGGAUGUAUAGGAGCCAUACAGGCUUCAUAACUCAAAAUAAGCUAUAAUUAAAUGAAACAUUUUCAGCUUCAGAAAGAAUUCUGAAUUUUAAAUGAAUUGUGAUAUUUUGAAAUAA